rnacentral:rRNA from 1 species
CAUGAAGCUGGAAUCGCUAGUAAUCGCGGAUCAGAAUGCCGCGGUGAAUACGUUCCCGGGUCUUGUACACACCGCCCGUCACACCAUGGGAGUCGGAAAUGCCCGAAGUCUGUGACCCAACCAUUAAGGAGGGAGCAGCCGAAGGCAGGUCGGAUGACUGGGGGUGAAGUCGUAACAAGGUACC